rnacentral:lncRNA from 1 species
UUUUUCUCUAACCAUACUAAGAAUUGAGCAAUUUUCCUCCCUAGGUCCCACCCCGACACUGGUUAGACUAGUUUGCCUGUAGUGUGGUCUCUGCUGACAUCAACACUUCAUUGGGAUAGGAAGUUGGCACAUUAUUGCAGAGUUCCCAUUAUUGCCCCGUAGGAGGCUGUCACUUCCCCAAACUGCACUAGCUCUGGUGCCAAUCUCUCACUCACGCAUCCUCCUCCUGACUGCUGGGAGCACACAGGCAUGCUGCAUGUCACCUGCUCCUCGGGCUUUUGACAAUCUCCUUCCUUUGUUUCCAAAUCCUAAGCAAAUUGCUCGGUUGACAAUCAAAGCCUACUAACAUCAAACAGCUGCUAUAGACAGGUGUGUUCUACAGUUACCUGCUGUUUGCUUUCCUCAGCAGGGACUGAUAUGACAAACAAAACCAAGAGCUGGGUGCCGACGUUCAGAGUCACUCCUGCAAGCUCAACCUAGUGUCUGUUUCUUUGGCUUCCCUGGUAUUUUUCAGACUUGGAAAUUCACCCUACCUGUGGCCUCCCUCAGUCCUACAGUGUGUGGCUGGCUAGGGUGUUGUAAAACCCUGCUGAUUCUUGCAGUUCUUUGCAAAAAGCUAGGAAUCACAGUGGCUGCAUUGAAACAAAGAGGUUGCCCAGUUCUGGAAUCUUUGGUUUAUAAAUGGCACCCAGUCUCCUUCAAAUAUUUUCCACUUUUCUUUCUUGUUAGUGCACUUAUAUGAGUGCUGUCUCCUGAUUUCUGCUUUUAGCAGAAAAUAUCUCAGGUUCUCACCUUUGAAAGUUGCUCUAAACACCCUGGAGCAUGUCUGGUCACUUAAUCCCCCACCACUGGUGGGUAAGAGGGUGUGGUAGGUUGGAGGUGAAAUGGAUUUCCAACUUUCCAAUGUUCCUUCCUAUACUUUGGAGUCUGGAAAACUAGCAACCAUUGUUUUCCACGUUCUUUUCUAUUUUUCAGAUGCGUUUGUCCCUGGGUCUCUGGAUGUGAUUUAAGUUCUGCCAGUCAGACGUGCCCAGAUGAAAUGUGGAAGGGGAAGUGAGUCAGAGCUCAUGUUUUCUGGGGCUGCUGUUUCUCCGGCAGCACCAUCAUGGUUGUGUCAGGGUUUUCUGUGGCAAGUACGGAUGGUGGCCACUUUCUAAUUAUAUCACUUCCUGAUCUUGGUGGCUUCCUGAUCACCAACGAGGCAGCAGUUUCCUUGGUGCCCUGGUGUUCAAGCCACUCCUGAAAGCUCAAUCUAGUGUCUGUUUCUUCAGCUCUCCUGGUAAUUUUGAUGACAGGCCAGGACACUCUGGAUGCCAUCCUCAGUGUGUCUAGGCUGUGACUCUGACUUUCUGGGCCAGGACCAGGGCCUUACAGUGCAGGAGAAAGACAGAGAUGUGGAAGCUUCAUGGGGAGGCUUUAAAAACAGGUGAGCCAAGAUUUGGAGGAACCACUGGGAUGCUCACUCGUGGCCAUGACAUCAGCAUUCCAGGAGGGCAGCUCCACAGAUAAGUCACUCCUGAUACUGCUGGCAGCUCACCAUCAGGAACAAUGCACUGAAAUGCAUACGGCCUUUGUAAUGCGCAUUUACAUUGAUCUAACCACUUUCUGGGAAACUCACAACAGUCCAUGGGUGUGAUUAUUGUUAUUUCCAUAUUGCAGAUGAUGGAGCUAAGGCCCCAGGAGGUUAACUGACUUGCCCAAGGCCAUAUUGCCUGUAUGUGAUAUAGCUGGGAUUCAAAUCCAGGUAGUUUGGUUUGAGAGUCCACACUGUUAAUCAUCGCUUCCCGGCGCACUGCUUUUAGCUGAACUCAACGUGCCAACGAUUACCGUAGCUAAAAGUAACAAUAGCAAAGGAGGCUAGGAAAUGCUUACCUCCCUAAAAGUUUUAUAGUGAACUUCAUGUGAAUCAUGUUAUCACCCAGACUGCACGUGAUCUCAACAUUUUAAAAAUAUGCCUGUAGAAAGGGGAUUUUAAAUUGGAAAAGAUGAGUCCUUCCCAUUACUUUAUGUUUCAGAGUUGGAAGGAAUACAAGCUUUCUGAGGAAGGCAGCGCUGUGGCUCCAAUGGCCUGGAGCUCCAUUUUGUCUCGGUAGCCACCCUGGAAUGGUGGGUCAGAUGGUAGAGAGGCUUAGAGGCUCAGUAAAGAAGUUUGGGCUUGGCACUGAGUCCCUGGAGAUUUUCAAGUGGAGACAGAUGGGAUGAACUAAUGUUCUGCUACAAUCAGGCUGACAGUGCAGAGUGCAGGGUGAAGGGAGAUGGAAGAUGGAGAGGCCAAUGAGAAGGCUGCUGCACAUGAGGAGGAGGCUGGGCUAGGAUUGAAGGAGAGGGAAUGAAAAGAUGGUGAUGGCCUCAGAAAUGAAAGGAAAAGCCACAGGGCUUGUGAUUAAUUGGAUCCUGGGGUGGGAGAAGCAGACAUGGAGGUUUUCAGCCAGAAGCAAGAGAAUCAAGAAGAAAAAGGGAUGGUUUUGAGAGAAACAAUAUUCAGACCCACUGAAUUUUAGGAGAGAUAGGGGCACUAAGUUGCAAGGCUAAUAGGUAGUAGGAGAUCUUGUGCUGGGACACAGAGAAUAACUCAAGCUUGUGGUUUAGUAGAGAAAUGGAAAUUGCAGCAUUGAGAAUUAGAGGAGGUUGUGAGAGGAGGGCUGAGAACUAAGAGGUAACUCCAGCAUCAACAAGGGUGAAGGUGGAGAGCCUCUCAUAGAGCCUGGCAGGAAAACCACUGGUGACAUUUGAGAGUACAGUCCAGGUUCCCCAGAGAAAGAGAACCAGUAGGGCAUGUGUGUGUGUGUGUGUGUGUGUGUGUGUGUGCAUAUUGAUAUACACACACAUAUACAUAUAUAAAGAAAUUUAUCAUAAGAAAUUGGCUCACAUGAAUAUGAAGGCUAAGUCCCAAGAUCUACAGUCAGCAAGAAGGAGACCCAGGAGAGUCAAUGUGUAGUUCCAGUGAGAGUCCAAAUACCUGAGCAUAGUACAAAUUUCAGUCCAAAAGCUAGCAGACUUAAGACCUAAGAAGAGCCAAUGUUUCAGUACACAUUUAAAGGUCAGAAAAAGCCAAUGUCCCAGCUCAGAUAGCCAGGCAGGAGAAGCUCCCUCUUGGCCUUUUUGGUCUGAAUUUUUGGCCUUCCACUGAUAGGGUGAGACCCACUCACAUUAGGGAGGACAAUCUGCUUUACUCAGUCCACCAAUUCAAAUGUUAAACUCAUCCACAAACACCCUCAUACACACACCCAAGAUAAUGUGUGGCCAAAUGUCUGGGCACCCUGUAGCCCAAUCGAGCUGAUACAUAAAAUUCAUCACCACAGUGCCAUGAAGUUAGCUUGUGGAAGGCUAAUGAAGAAAUGUGUGGUAGGGAAAAGGAUGCAGGAAGACACAGACGACCCACUUGAGAAUGCUGUCAGCCAAAAGAAGCAGAAAAAUCUGAAUGGGCAGCAGGGUUACCCAACAUUUCUUUACAUGAUAAAAGAGACCUUCUGACUUGAUGCUUUUAUGCUAAUCCAUGUAGACAUUUGUUCUGUCAUUCCUUUUCCCCCAGCUUAUUAAAUUGAAUAUAUAAUUUUCCAUUCUAAUUAUAUUUUCCCAAAGGUAACUUUAAAGUAGUUUGCAUUUUUGGCAGGCAUGCCAACUAUUGGCAGAAGCAGGUGGCUCAGAAGGGCUCUGGGGCAAAGGAAUAAUCCAGUUCAUAAUCUAAAAUGUGCUGUGGAUAAAGAUGCAUGCCACUUACAAGGAUAUUAUCAAAGUUAAUUUUUCUGUGUGAUUCGUGGCUUUUCAACAUUGGUGCAGAAGAAUGGAUGUUUCCUGUCAGCGUCUUGACCGCCUUAGUGUUCACUUAAAAGAAAUACAGGGAAGUACACCUUUCAGGCAUUGGUGCGAGAUGGGUCAGAAAGGAGCCAAAGAACCCGCAGUUGUGUCAGCUGGGGCAGGUGGUAAGUUGGCUGAGGCACAGUGACAUGUCCUUGCAUUGGUCCCCAUCUGAUCAGUGCAAUGAUCACAAUGGAGGACUUGAGACUCUGCAGAAUGUUAAGUGUAAAGAGUGAUGAAAUCCUUUUUGAGCGUGCAAACUGUUUGCUAGAAUCCUAGUUCCAUGUUUCACCAGCGUGGCUGCCUUUUCUCCACACACCUCCGCUCUUAGACAGAUCCCACAUAGCCAGUGGGCCUGGACACUCAGCCCCGGUGAGCCCUCUUCCUGGAAACCCCAUAUCUUCCAUCACUUAGUCUCUUAAAGAAGAGCGUACAAAUAGCCCUCAAAUAGCGCUUGUGUCCAGAAAGCGACAUGCACAGCAUGCCUGUAUCUCUACUCCAAGCAUCCCAGGUAGGUUGGCUUUGCAUGAUAUGUAAGUUGCUGCCAAACAUGCCCAUUAGCUGUCAUUUCUCACUGACUUCACUGUUUUCUUACUUUUAUUUUAAAGGUCAUCUCUGUAUUUCCAGUUGAGACCCACUUAUUAAUUUACAAUGAUACUGUACAUAUAUUUUCAGUUAUUAUAUAUUGUUAUCAUAUAUAGUUAUCUAUAUAUCAUUUUGUAUAUAGAUAUCUGUAUAUAUGAUAUUAUCUGUAUAUAUUAUCCAUGCAUGUACUAUCUGUAUAUAUGUAUAUAUAACUGUAUAUCAUAUUCUUAAAUAUACAUUGUCAUCAUAAUAUAUGUAAAAUUCAAUAUAUGGAGACAUCUAUCUUCUCAAUUUUUUCUAAAAUAUAAUAACAAAUUAUACUCAAAUAAUCUAACCAGAGCAUUUAUUAAGUACCCAUGUGCUCAGUAUUAGUUUAAGCCCCAUGGGAUACAGAACAAAUACAAGACAUAAUAUUGACCCUCAGGUUGACCACACACAAGCUGGGAAACGAGACCCAUACACGAGAAGUGACAAUGAACUCUGACAAUGAACUCUCCUGGCUAUUUGGCCAUGGGAGGCACAUGCAGAAGAUGGAAAGGCAGCAGGGCAUGUUUUCCCUGUUCUUACCCUGCUUCAGCCUCUCUGGGAAGGUCACAUCCUUCUCUGACUACAGCCACUGCUGGGCCGUUCCCCCAGCUCUCACUGGCUCUGGUCCUUCCAUUGUUCCUUUCACCCUAUGGGUAGUAACAGCUUCCUGGUGUUGUUAGUCUUUGGGCACCUUUCCUUGCUUGUUCUCAUACCCCUGUCUAUUCCUCUGUCAGUAGCCCCUUCCUUAAAUUCCAUCCACCUGUACCAUUAGGAGUGAAUUCUGUUUCCUCCUGGGACUCUGACGGAUGCAGCGAAACUUACGAAGUUGCAGGUAGGGGGUUGCUUCACUUGUUGGUAAAGAUUUUAAUGUGUCAACCAGAACAAAUACUUGUUUGAUAAAGGAGAAAGGAGUUGGCCUUCCCCAGCAGGAGAGUAGGAGGAGCUUUGAAAGCAGACAGAUGACUUAUAGAGAGCAAAAGCAAGGGCUUGAAGUGAACAAGUUGGCAUUUUGGUGUAGACAAGUCUGAUCUGUACAGCUAAUUUUUAGACUUUAAAAAGUUAAAUGAAUCCUUCCUGGAGGCUUAUGCUUCCUGUCCUGUCACUUGUUUGAAGAGAGAGCUACAUCAAAGCCCCAGGCACCAGAAUUCCCCAGAACCCAAACUUCACAGUCCUGCUGGGGGACACCUCAGAUCCCCAAUUAGGAGGAUGGAGUGCAGGUGAGCAAGGAACCCCCUCCUGCUUUAAUUACUCCUGGCAUAAUAUUCUUUUUCAAGCUUUGCUAAUUGAAAUUAAACAGCUGCCACAUUUGGACAGGGACAAAAAAGAAUCAAUUUUUCAGCUUUCUCUGAUGUAAUAGAGACUGACAGGCUAUGAGGAAAACAGGGGCAAUUUCCCUCCCACGGCUACUGGGUCACCAGUGGUUGACUCAAAGCAAAACACAGUGUUGAGGUGAAGUCUUCCCUAGUACAGUAAGAGUGAUGCUAGCCAGGGGUUCUCAGGACAAAUGACACAUUAAGUUCGUCUCAUGGCCACCUUUACUAAAAUGAUCCAGUAGCCGACUCUUUUGUAGCCCAAGAUUACCAAGAUCUUCCAUAUGCCAGAAGGGGCUAGAAAUAGUCCCCUGCCAAGUGGAUUCUUUGCUAGGUAAGUUCUUUAACAGUUGGUGAAGGGUGGCAAGGGAUGGUUUUAUCACCUUAGAGGACAGAUUAGUAAAGGGAAGGUGAAGGAAAAGAGAUUCUACAAUGCACUUAAGGGUGUGCUAGGUGCUUUCAGAGAAGUUGUCUUUGUCAGGCCCUAUGGCAACAUAGGGACUUAGGUCUUAUGAAACAAACUAGACUUGGAGCUUGGGGGCUUAGGUCUGUGUGUGGUGAGUGUGAUAUGGUCAAAAGGCUUGGAUAAAAAUCAGUGACCAGAACAGUUGGCCUUCCUCCCACCUCCCAGACUCAGUGCACAGAACACCAGAGGCAAGGCAUCUGUCCCCCAGGCAGAAAACCAGAAGUUUCUUCUCUGAAUAAACUAGAUGGCCCUAGGGACUAAACUUCCCCAUACAAACAUUCUCUACUUAAUAACCUUAAAGUGAAGCCUGUUAGUUGGCAAGUCCUGCUCCCACUCCCAAAGAAAAUGCUCCCUGUUUAGAAUCUCACAUUUAAAUACAGUGACAGGCAAGGAUUUUUGAGGAAAACCUCUGAAUGAAAGGAAACAAAAAUAGACAAACAGAAAGAGAAAUAAUGCAGAGAACAGAAAAUAAACUUAAAAAAGAAAAAAACCUUCUAGUUCAUAUCUUUAGAGAGAUUUGAGAAGAUGUUAUGCAAAGAGAACAAUUGGAGAAUAAGAAAGAAUUCUUAGAAUUUAAAAAUAGAAUUUCUAGGGCCCGGCAUAGUGGCUCAUGCCUGUAAUCCCAGC